ACACUUACCUGGCAGGGGAGAUACCAUGAUCAAGAAGGUAGCUCACCCAGGGUGAGGCUUAAUCAUUGCAAUCUGGCUGUGCUGACCCCUCCGACUUCCCUGAAUGUGCCAAAAGUGACUACAUAAUUUCUAGUAGGGGACUGUCUUUGAACUCUCCCCUG
ensembl:snRNA U1 U1 spliceosomal RNA